rnacentral:rRNA from 1 species
GUAGGGAAUCUUCGGCAAUGGACGAAAGUCUGACCGAGCAACGCCGCGUGAGUGAAGAAGGUUUUCGGAUCGUAAAACUCUGUUGGUAGAGAAGAACGUUGGUGAGAGUGGAAAGCUCAUCAAGUGACGGUAACUACCCAGAAAGGGACGGCUAACUACGUGCCAGCAGCCGCGGUAAUACGUAGGUCCCGAGCGUUGUCCGGAUUUAUUGGGCGUAAAGCGAGCGCAGGUGGUUUAUUAAGUCUGGUGUAAAAGGCAGUGGCUCAACCAUUGUAUGCAUUGGAAACUGGUAGAGUUGAGUGCAGGAGAGGAGAGUGGAAUUCCAUGUGUAGCGGUGAAAUGCGUAGAUAUAUGGAGGAACACCGGUGGCGAAAGCGGCUCUCUGGCCUGUAACUGACACUGAGGCUCGAAAGCGUGGGGAGCAAACAGGAUUAGAAACCCGGGUAGUCC